rnacentral:rRNA from 1 species
GGAAUUUUCCGCAAUGGGCGAAAGCCUGACGGAGCAAUACCGCGUGAGGGAUGAAGGAUUUUGGUCUGUAAACCUCUUUUCUCAAGAAAGAAGUUCUGACGGUACUUGAGGAAUAAGCAUCGGCUAACUCCGUGCCAGCAGCCGCGGUAAUACGGGGGAUGCAAGCGUUAUCCGGAAUUAUUGGGCGUAAAGCGCCUGUAGGUUGUUUAGUAAGUUCGUUGUUAAAGACCAGGGCUUAACCCUGGAAAAGCGAUGGAAACUACUAGGCUUGAGUAUGGUAGGGGUAGAGGGAAUUUCUAGUGUAGCGGUGAAAUGCGUAGAGAUUGGAAAGAACACCGAUGGCGAAAGCACUUUACUGGGCUAUUACUAACACUCAGAGACGAAAGCUCGGGUAGCAAAUGGGAUUAGAUACCCCAGUAGUC